rnacentral:rRNA from 1 species
AGUGAACGCUGGCGGUAGGCCUAACACAUGCAAGUCGAACGGCAGCACAGUAAGAGCUUGCUCUUACGGGUGGCGAGUGGCGGACGGGUGAGGAAUACAUCUGAAUCUACUUUUUCGUGGGGGAUAACGUAGGGAAACUUACGCUAAUACCGCAUACGACCUACGGGUGAAAGCAGGGGAUCUUCGGACCUUGCGCGAUUGAAUGAGCCGAUGUCGGAUUAGCUAGUUGGCGGGGUAAAGGCCCACCAAGGCGACGAUCCGUAGCUGGUCUGAGAGGAUGAUCAGCCACACUGGAACUGAGACACGGUCCAGACUCCUACGGGAGGCAGCAGUGGGGAAUAUUGGACAAUGGGCGCAAGCCUGAUCCAGCCAUACCGCGUGGGUGAAGAAGGCCUUCGGGUUGUAAAGCCCUUUUGUUGGGAAAGAAAAGCAGCAGGUUAAUACCCCGCUGUUCUGACGGUACCCAAAGAAUAAGCACCGGCUAACUUCGU